GAUGAACGCUGGCGGCGUGCCUAAUACAUGCAAGUCGAGCGAAUGGAUUAAGAGCUUGCUCUUAUGAAGUUAGCGGCGGACGGGUGAGUAACACGUGGGUAACCUGCCCAUAAGACUGGGAUAACUCCGGGAAACCGGGGCUAAUACCGGAUACAUUUUGAACCGCAUGGUUCGAAAUUGAAAGGCGGCUUCGGCUGUCACUUAUGGAUGGACCCGCGUCGCAUUAGCUAGUUGGUGAGGUAACGGCUCACCAAGGCAACGAUGCGUAGCCGACCUGAGAGGGUGAUCGGCCACGCUGGGACUGAGACACGGCCCAGACCCCUACGGGAGGCAGCAGUAGGGAAUCUUCCGCAAUGGACGAAAGUCUGACGGAGCAACGCCGCGUGAGUGAUGAAGGCUUUCGGGUCGUAAAACUCUGUUGUUAGGGAAGAACAAGUGCUAGUUGAAUAAGCUGGCACCUUGACGGUACCUAACCAGAAAGCCACGGCUAACUACGUGCCAGCCGCCGCAGUAA
rnacentral:rRNA from 1 species